GGCAUGGUGGCUUAGUGGUUAGCACUGUUGCCUCUCACCUUCAGUUGGGGGUUUGAUUCCCGCCUCUGCCG